rnacentral:tRNA from 1 species
AAAAAGGCCGGGAUAGCUCAGUUGGUAGAGCAGAGGACUGAAAAUCCUCGUGUCACCAGUUCA